rnacentral:sRNA from 1 species
GCGCCUUUGAAUCUCCUCUUGACCGGC